GGAAGUCUAGUCUGCCUCCUGGAAAAUCACAACCGAGGCAAAGUUUAAUACUCAUUAUUUUCCCGAGUUUCAGUUAGUGAUUGUUCUUAACAUAACGAAGUAUAUCGAACUAUGUAUGGUAUAAACACAGCCAUAAGCAUUAUCUGCUAUUGCAAACUGAACCGUUGGACACAAGGAAAAAAUGGAGGCUGUAAUCUGAUACAGAAGUGGAGUUUUCCUAGGAAAAUCAGACACCCGUGUUGCAGAGCAGAUAGUCCAUCAGUUGCAGCUUUGAUUCCCUGGACAGAUGCUGCUUCAGGAGCAGUUGCAUGAAAUCAAAGGUUUUGCGCAUUGAUGGCUGCCGGAGGCGCGCUGCAGGGGGGCAGGCUUCGCAAGGCUGCGGCUUUCGGCCCAGCCGGAGACGGCCGCAGGUCCGUGGCUCAGAGUGCUGACACUGCUGUUCUUCUGAGAAAGGAUGCUGGACGCAGCUGCUGAGUUAGCACAGAGUUCCCCCUGAUGCUCACGCACUGCUUGUGAAUUCCCUUACCAAAUUGCGCAGUGCAAUGCCCACAAACAAAAAAGAAGGACACUACAGAGCGAAUGUCUUCCUCUAAAUAAUGCGGCCACUGCAUACUGUUGCAUUUUGUCUGCAUUCCAGUGAUGAACAGGAACGGUUCAAUAGAAGGCAGAUGACGUUAGAAGCAAAUUCAGCCCAUAGAGAUUCCUGGAAUGACACCAGUCCCACACCACUGACUAUCAUGGUCUGAGUCAGUAACUAUGACUGAUUCCACGAUUCUGUUUGUGUGUAUUAUUAAUACCCCUGGGUAUUAAUUUUCAUGAAAUCUGCUAUCUCCUGCUAUCACCAGACACUUCAAGUACUGAAAUUCUCCAGUACACAUUUUUCUGAGAAUAUUCCGUACUUUACAUAACCAGUACAAUCAAAGACUUUGUUGCAAUCAGGAAAAUACAUAUUACCUCUUCCUCGUA